GAUGAACGCUGGCGGCGUGCCUAACACAUGCAAGUCGAGCGAAGAGAUGCGUUGCUUGCUCCUCUGAGGUUAGCGGUGGCCGGGUGAGGAGCACGUCGAUAGCCUCCUUCUAAGACUGUGAUAACAUCGGCAAACAGGAGUUACUACUGCAUAAUAUAUUGAACCGCAUGGUUGAAUAGUCUAAGACGGUUUUGCUGUCGCUUGUGGAUGGAUUCGCGCCGUAUUAGCUAGUUGGUAAGGUAAUGGCCUACCAAGGCAACGAUGCGUAGCCGACCUGAGAGGGGGGUCGGCCACAACGGAACUGAGACACGGUCCAGACUCCUACGGGAGGCAGCAGUAGGGAAGCUUACGCAAUGGGCGAAAGCCUGACGGAGCAACGCCGCGGGAGUGAUGAUGGUCUUCGGAGCGUAAAACUCUGUUAUUGGGGGAGAAGAAAGGUGGAAGUGUCUAUGCACGUCUUGACGGUACCUAGACAGAAAGCCACGGCUAACUACGUG
rnacentral:rRNA from 1 species